AUUGUUAGUUGCCAUCAUUCAGUUGGGCACUCUAGCGAGACUGCCGGUAAUAAACCGGAGGAAGUGGGGAUGACGUCAAAUCAUCAUGCCCCUUAUGACCUGGGCUACACACGUGCUACAAUGGUUGGUACAACGAGUUGCGAGUCGGUGACGGCGAGCUAAUCUCUUAAAGCCAAUCUCAGUUCGGAUUGUAGGCUGCAACUCGCCUACAUGAAGUCGGAAUCGCUAGUAAUCGCGGAUCAGCACGCCGCGGUCGAAUACGUUCCCGGGCCUU
rnacentral:rRNA from 1 species